UCUCUCUCUCUCUCUCAUGCACACACACAUACACACACACACGUGGAUGGAUAAAUAAGACACUGUCCUAGUUGGAUUCUCUGUUGCUGUGACAAAACACUAAUCAGAAGCAACUUAGGGGAAGAAAGGGUUUGUUUCACUUUAUAGGUUAUAGCUCAUCUUUCAGGGAAGCAAGUGCAGGAGCUCACGAGUGGAACCAGAAGGUAAGACUCACACAGAGAGACAAUGGAAGAAUUCUGCUUACUGGCCAGCUUGCUUUCUAGUGCAGUCCAAGACCACCAGUCCAAGGGUAGCAUCACCCAUCCUGGGCUGGGCCCUCCACAUUAACCAUCAAUGAAGAAAACACUGCCCACCCCCACCCCCAGACUUGCCUGCAGACCAAAUCGGAUAGAGCCAAUUCCUUAGUGAAGCUUCCCUCUUCCCAGGUGACUCUGUAAAAUUGACAAAAACUAGCCAGUACAGAUAUCAUAUUUUCUUGACUCUUUCAUCUGAUGGGCACCUAGUUUGGUUCUCUGUAUAUGCUCUUAUGAAUAGUACUUCAGUGGACAUAGCCAUUGAAGUAUCUCUGUGGUAUGCUAAUCACAUAUCUUUGAAAUGUAUAUUCAGUAUUGGGGCAGAUGUCUCAUAUCCUUAGAUCAUUUCUGUCCCCAUUAUACCCUUUCCCUUUAUGCAGGACCCCUCCCUCUGACCAAAUAGUGCUGUUCAUACUUUCAUGUCUUACCUUUUUAAAACUUUAGAUUCUGUAUAUGAGAGAAAAUAUGUGAUAUUUGUCUUCCUGUAUCUAGGUUAUUUCACUUAGCAUGAUGAGAGUUUCAGGCCAACCAGGGUGACAUAGUGAGAUUCUGCCCCUCCUCCCCAAAAAAGGGUAGAUCUCUGUUUUUUAACUUCAAAUGAAUUAAAUAUCUUAAUAUAAGCCCUAAAACAUGAAACUGUUAAAGGAAAAAAUAUAGAAAACAUUUCAAGAUAUUGGCUACCAUGUCUGUCCACAGAGGAAUGAAAAAAGAAAAUGUGAUAUUUUCUAUAUAAUGAAGAUUUUCAUCUAUGAAGAAUAAGGAAGUUCUGUCACUUGAUUAUACUCAUUUACAACCCAUAAUGGUUACACUACGUUCCCACCAAUGGUGUGUGCAGAAUUCCUUUUUCUCCACAUUGUGUAUGUGUCAUGCAUGCACAUGCCAUAAGUUUGUAGAAGUCAGAAAAUAACCUCAAAUGUUGUUUCUCAGGAGCUGGUCCUCUAUCUUCUUUGUUUUUGUUUUUGAGACAGCAUCUUUCCUAAAUAAAUUUCCAAAUUCUUCUAACUAUUUGAAUCUGGCAUGAGUAAGUCCCUGGAUAUGGCCCAUCCUGAGACAGAAUUGACUCUGUGAAGCCUAGAAGGCAGGUUACCUGCUUCCAAGAUACAAUGAUACGGCAGUCACAGGAGAAAGUUCCAUCAAAAAAAGGAGACAUUUUUUUAUUGAUUCUUUGGGAAUUUUACAUCAUGUAAAUCCCCUACUCGUUUCCCAGUCCUUCCAUAUCCUCCAUCCAUCCUUGUAAUUCCAUCAAAAU
rnacentral:lncRNA from 1 species